rfam:Clostridium hiranonis DSM 13275 Scfld8 genomic scaffold, whole genome shotgun sequence.
CUGUACUAGAUGGGGAGGUAGCGGCACCCUGUAACCUGCAAUCCGCUAUAGCAGGGUUGAACUCCAUCUGGAGGAUUUGUAAUUGAAGUGCAGUCUUUAUUUACUUGGUGUUGACGCUCAGGUCCUGAGCAAUGGAAGCUUGUGAAUCCCGUCAGAUCUGGAAGGAAGCAGCGGUAAGCAAUCCCUUCUGUGUGACUCAGGGAUGCCUUGGCUGAGCUGAGUAAUAGGGCAACGGCUUUGAGGAAAAGACGAUAGAUGGUGUACAG